rnacentral:lncRNA from 10 species
CCUGGGUGACAGAGCAAGACUCCAUCUCAAAAUAAAUAAAUGAGAGGAAUUGUGUGCUGGCUCAGACUGAGUCCAGCAGGAGGAAGAGAAACUUAAGGAAAGUUUGCUCUACAUUAAUUUUGUGCAGCCUGGUUGGUGAAGACAGAAUUGUUCAGCUAAUCAUUUCUGAGGCAAAGUGGGAAUUUGGUGGGGUUUUUGGUCUUGUUACAGGUUUAAAAAGGGGGCAUAGUCGAAGCAAUGCGGAGAGUGUUACACUGCAUUCAGCUGUUUGUUCAGAACACACAGGACUUAGGUGGUAGAAGACUGAGGUGAUUUCUUUUCUUUCUUUCUUUUUUUUUUUUUUGAGACAGAGUCUCACUCUGUUUCCCAGGCUGGAGUACAGUGGCAUGAUCUCAGCUCACUACAAAACUCCACCUCGCCUCCCAGCCUCAAGCGAUCCUCCC